GNNCCGCCGUAACACAGCAAUUAAAUAACCCAUUGCUCGCCAAAUAACUACGAGUGGAAACUUAAAAUUUAAAAGACUUGACGGUACUUCACAACAACCUAGAGGAGCCUGUCCAAUAACCGAUAAUCCACGAUUAACCCCACCCGUUUUUGCCCACCAGUCUAUAUACCGCCGUCGCCAGCUUGCCUUGUGAAAGAAACAAAGCAAGCCAAACAGUACCACACUAACACGACAGGUCGAGGUGUAACAAAUAAACGGGUCAAAGAUGGGCUACAUUUUCUUAAUUAGAAAACACGAAUAAAGUAUGAAACAACAACCUGAAGGCGGAUUUAGCAGUAAGAUUAAAAUAGAAUAUUCAUCUGAAACCAAUGCAAUGAAGUGCGU
rnacentral:rRNA from 1 species